AUCACAUUGAAACAUUGGUACCCAUACGAUCACCGAAGUUAAGCAACGUCGAGCCUGGUCAAUACCUAGAUGGAUAACCGCUUGGGAGUACCAGGUGCUGUAAG
rnacentral:rRNA from 1 species